ensembl:misc_RNA Metazoa_SRP Metazoan signal recognition particle RNA
GCUGGGUGUGGUGGUGCACACCUGUAGUCCCAGCUACUCAGGAGGCUGAGGCAGGAGAAUCGCUUGAACCCAGGAGGUGGAGGCUGCAGUGAACUGAGAUUGUGACACUGCACUCCACCCUGGGCGAAAGAGCGAGACUCUGUCCCCU